rnacentral:rRNA from 1 species
GCUGGCGCUGCUAUACUGCAAGUCGAGCGGACAGAAGGGAGCUUGCUCCCGGAUGUUAGCGGCGGACGGGUGAGUAACACGUGGGUAACCUGCCUGUAAGACUGGGAUAACUCCGGGAAACCGGAGCUAAUACCGGAUAGUUCCUUGAACCGCAUGGUUCAAGGAUGAAAGACGGUUUCGGCUGUCACUUACAGAUGGACCCGCGGCGCAUUAGCUAGUUGGUGGGGUAAUGGCUCACCAAGGCGACGAUGCGUAGCCGACCUGAGAGGGUGAUCGGCCACACUGGGACUGAGACACGGCCCAGACUCCUACGGGAGGCAGCAGUAGGGAAUCUUCCGCAAUGGACGAAAGUCUGACGGAGCAACGCCGCGUGAGUGAUGAAGGUUUUCGGAUCGUAAAGCUCUGUUGUUAGGGAAGAACAAGUGCGAGAGUAACUGCUCGCACCUUGACGGUACCUAACCAGAAAGCCACGGCUAACUACGUGCCAGCAGCCGCGGUAAUACGUAGGUGGCAAGCGUUGUCCGGAAUUAUUGGGCGUAAAGGGCUCGCAGGCGGUUUCUUAAGUCUGAUGUGAAAGCCCCCGGCUCAACCGGGGAGGGUCAUUGGAAACUGGGAAACUUGAGUGCAGAAGAGGAGAGUGGAAUUCCACGUGUAGCGGUGAAAUGCGUAGAGAUGUGGAGGAACACCAGUGGCGAAGGCGACUCUCUGGUCUGUAACUGACGCUGAGGAGCGAAAGCGUGGGGAGCGAACAGGAUUAGAUACCCUGGUAGUCCACGCCGUAAACGAUGAGUGCUAAUGGUUAGGGGGUUUCCGCCCCUUAGUGCUGCAGCUAACGCAUUAAGCACUCCGCCUGGGGAGUACGGUCGCAAGACUGAAACUCAAAGGAAUUGACGGGGGCCCGCACAAGCGGUGGAACAUGUGGUUUAAUUCGAAGCAACGCGAAAAACCU